rnacentral:snoRNA from 1 species
AACCCGCCUUUCGCUUUACCAGUUGGACUCCUCUGUCUUUCUUGGUUAUUCCGGGGGAGCAAAGGAAAUACCCUUUUAAAACUCAGGCACACUGGGUGUUUGUCUUGUAACCUGUCAGAGGAAACAAAC